CCUCGCGGUAGACGGCCGUGGCGGGUGUCACGAGCCCGUAGUUGUCAUCGCAGCCAGCGGCGCCCGCUGAGCCGCCCAGGACGCCCGGGAGAGAGGCGCUGCAAGAGCCUCCGGUGGUGCCCGAGCCCCCCUCGCCAGAGCGGCCUUCGCUGACCAAGUCGGUCGAGAGUCGGGGUCCCCGAGUCGCGGGGCCGAGCUUAGAACGCGCGCGGCCCGUCUGCUGCCACCGUUCUGCACUGCGCGACGACGGUCUGCGUCCGGACACUCGGGGCCCACACUGCCACUGGGGCCGCUGCUGCCGUUGCUGCCGCUGCUGCUGCUGCCACCAACGACGACCCGGGCUUGUCGCGGUCCCCGCCGCACAGCUUAGUUCACAAGUAUAUUCAAAACAUUUGCAUUUCUGAUGAAUGAACCUUGAGCAGACUUUUGCCCAUCUAGGAUUAAUAGGGAGACUUGCUGCAUUUAAUGAGCCCCCCCUCGCAUCUCUUUGCUAGUAUGUUUCAACUGAAAUUACACAAGAAUUUUGUAAUAUGUGAACUCUGUGUUUGCAACAGGAUAACUUCUCGGCAAGAAUGUAACUGUUGUCUACCUCACUCAGUAUCUGUGCUUGGAAGUGCCAACAGCUCAACAAUCAGAACGUGUAAAAACUCAGCAGGCAAAAACAGGGAGAUGUAGCUUGGCCUGAGCUCAGCCCUGCAGCAGACUAAAGACGAUCAGUUCGAGGAACUUCUGGAGUGCCAUGAUGACCUUGAAGGUGACAAUCCAUUCCUGGAAUGUCAUGACAGCUCCCAUGUGACAGAGUGAAAGCGGUACGCCAGAUCCACCGCCCAGAUGGCAGGAUGCUUACAGAAGGACAGACAAUACAGUGCAGGGUGAGUUCCAGGAAAGCCAGAACUGUAUUCGGUGACCCUGUCUACAAACAGAACAAACAAAACAAAAAGAAAAACAAACAAAGAAAAAAAAAGACACCUUUGGGAUAAAAGGCUAAGUUCUUGAGGUGACUAGCAGCUCCCAGGAAACCCAGCUGUCAGUGUAAAACAAAAUGCAGUGUAUCCCACUGUUUCAGAGUCAAAUCAGAGAGUGGUGUGGGGAAUCUUCGUGGUGGAUAUUCAUUACAUUAUCUUGGCAAAUUAUAGCUAUGGCAAAACAUGGAACUAAAUUCUCUCUCUCUCUCUAUUUCUCUCUCUCUCUCCCCCCUCCCUCUCCCCCCACCUCACCUCCCUUUUCCCUCUUCCUCUUUCUUUCCUUGGAAUCUUUAACUGGGCUCCACCCUUGUGGUUAAGUUUCACUCACAGCAAUGCUGGCUUGAAGCAGAGUGGUUUAAAGAACAACACUAGUGUCCUCUGCCGCCCCCACUCCCUCAUUUCCUACAGCUUGAUGGCAAAUGUCCUUUUCUAACACUGCUGCAGGCCACUGGGUUCCUUCCCCUGGCCCAUGACUGCAGGACAGUUACGGGCGUGUGCCUCGGCUGCCUCCUGUCUGCAGAGUCGGUCUCCCUGUGCUUCUUACAGUCCUUUCCAUUGUUACUAAGUUGGAAUGUAUGAGAAAUCCAUUGUGGAGAGUUUGAGAAGGGCCACCUUGGUAAAGUCCCCUCUCUUCCUUCCCUGCUCUCCAGAGAUGACUGUGUGUCACAACAUAGAGGGCUUAGGGAGCCAUGUCCCCUAGAAAUUCAGAACGCAGAAUUCCUACCUGUGCAUGCUCACGCCGGCCUCUCCUUGAGCUCCUGGGGCUAGCCCAUUGCUGCUUUGGUUUUCCUGUCCCCACAGAUGAUUCCAGUGGGCAGCAAGUGUUGAGAGGCACCAAACUGGGCCACAGACUUACAAGGUGACCCUAAGUAAAUGGACAGAUGUGGAACGGACCAUGAGAAGCUGGGCCUGGAGAGAUGGCUCAGCAGUUAAGAGCACUGACUGCUCUUCCAGAAGACCUGAGUUCCCAGCAACGUGGCUCACAACUAUCUGAAACCAAAUCAGAUGCCUUCUUAAUGGUUACCUGAACUGCACAUGGAUGUGUGCCAAAGACGGAAGACAAACCUCUUCAGUGCCACUGUCUAUGACAGCCCUACAUCCUUUAGUGGCGAGUUAAGGGGACAUGUUAUAAUGCAUUCCUGCAACAAAGUUCCACCUGUGCGUGAACACAUGGAUAGCCAGUGACCAUGUGGUGGCUGUCAUUUGUCUUUAUAAAGUAGUCUUAUGUGACUGGAGCUCAUGGAGUGGUGGCAUAUGCAGUGUCCGGGACACAGGAGGAACGCUUUCCUCAGAACGCCAGUUACACAUGUUUUCUUAACUUGAGUGGAGGUGGGAGGCAGGUGUGUUCUCUUGGGAACUCUUCCACCUGUGCACUUCGGUGCACUUCUUGAGUGUUGAUUUUACAUAUUUUUAAUAAAGAAAUUUGAAAGUGCCUGUAUCAAUCCGAACUGCACUUUGGCAGCAUUCCGCGCAUGAAGAAAUGUUCAGAUGGACACAAGAAUAAUUGGCUCUCAGC
rnacentral:lncRNA from 1 species